CUUGAAAGUCACGCCCGGACUCUUUCCGUUUUCUUUUCUUGCAUCCUGCACUUGUCUUAGCUGGAGUCUUAGCUGGAGUCAGAAGAGAAACAAUUUGAAUGGAGAAAAUAUGUUUGCCAUAGCAUUGUAGAACCACACUAUUGUCUGCCUAAUCUCAUAGGGAUUAAUUAAUGGGGUGAUGAUGAGGGACCAUUCUGACAGCUACAGGCCAUAUUCCUGUUUCCUGGAAAUUUCCAAGGUGUUUUAGUAUGCGGU
rnacentral:lncRNA from 1 species